AACGCACAUUGCGCCCGCCAGUAUUCUGGCGGGCAUGCCUGUUCGAGCGUCAUUUCAACCCUCAAGCACUGCUUGGUGUUGGGGACCGGCGAGCCUCGUCCCACGACGAGGCGCCGCCCCCGAAAUGAAUUGGCGGCCCCGUCGCGGCCCUUCCUCUUGCGUAGUAGCACACCUCGCAUCGGGAGCCCGACGGCGGCCACUGCCGUAAAACGCCCAACUUUCUCAGAAGUUGACCUCGGAUCAGGUAGGAAUACCCGCUGAACUUAA
rnacentral:misc_RNA from 1 species